UAAGGAAUAUUGGUCAAUGGACGGAAGUCUGAACCAGCCAUGCCGCGUGGAGGAUGAAGGUCCUCUGGAUUGUAAACUUCUUUUAUUUGGGACGAAAUGAUCUUUUUCUAAAGGUUUUGACGGUACCAGAUGAAUAAGCACCGGCUAACUCCGUGCCAGCAGCCGCGGUAAUACGGAGGGUGCAAGCGUUAUCCGGAUUCACUGGGUUUAAAGGGUGCGUAGGCGGACACUUAAGUCCGUGGUGAAAUCUCCGGGCUUAACCCGGAAACUGCCAUGGAUACUAUUUGUCUUGAAUGCUGUGGAGGUUAGCGGAAUAUGUCAUGUAGCGGUGAAAUGCAUAGAUAUGACAUAGAACACCAAUUGCGAAGGCAGCUGGCUACACAGAAAUUGACGCUGAGGCACGAAAGCGUGGGGAUCAAACAGG
rnacentral:rRNA from 1 species